GAUGAACGCUGGCGGCGUGCCUAACACAUGCAAGUCGAGCGAGGGUUUGCUCAGUAUUGAGUAUUCUAAGACUAGAAUGUUCAAUUCUGAGCAAAACCAAGCGGCGGACGGGUGAGUAACGCGUGGGUAACCUGCCCUAUACACACGGAUAACAUACUGAAAAGUUUACUAAUACAUGAUAAUAUAUAUUUGCGGCAUCGCAGAUAUAUCAAAGUGUUAGCGGUAUAGGAUGGACCCGCGUCUGAUUAGCUAGUUGGUGAGAUAACUGCCCACCAAGGCGACGAUCAGUAGCCGACCUGAGAGGGUGAUCGGCCACAUUGGAACUGAGACACGGUCCAAACUCCUACGGGAGGCAGCAGUGGGGAAUAUUGCACAAUGGGCGAAAGCCUGAUGCAGCAACGCCGCGUGAACGAUGAAGGUCUUCGGAUCGUAAAGUUCUGUUGCAGGGGAAGAUAAUGACGGUACCCUGUGAGGAAGCCCCGGCUAACUACGUGCCAGCAGCCGCGGUAAUACGUAGGGGGCUAGCGUUAUCCGGAUUUACUGGGCGUAAAGGGUGCGUAGGUGGUCCUUCAAGUCGGUGGUUAAAGGCUACGGCUCAACCGUAGUAAGCCGCCGAAACUGGAGGACUUGAGUGCAGGAGAGGAAAGUGGAAUUCCCAGUGUAGCGGUGAAAUGCGUAGAUAUUGGGAGGAACACCAGUAGCGAAGGCGGCUUUCUGGACUGCAACUGACACUGAGGCACGAAAGCGUGGGUAGCAAACAGG
rnacentral:rRNA from 1 species